UAUACACUUUGGAGUUGAUAUACACUUUGGGGUUUAAUGUACUCAAUAAUCAAUUUCAGAUCAAAAUCAGUUAAGUCCUAAAAUCAGUUCGGACUCUAAUCUUUACUCUCCACCAGGGGUUACAAGAAGACCCUCAAAGGGAAUGGUAUUGAGAGAAUGGAGGCAUGAAGGUAGGAACAGUGCUGUCUUGAUGGAAUACCAAUCUGUUCUCCUAAGUGAAGUGGAAUGGAAUGGCCACUGACCCCAGGAAUCCAUAGGUUUAAUGGUUAAGAUGAAUGAAUUAAAAUAACAAAAACCUUAGGAACAAUGUUGGUAUAAAUUAGUAUUGCUUUUUCUCUACUCUGAUGUUUCCUUUUAUGUUGAUGAAGCUUCAUGAGCAUAAUGCUCCAGGUUUCUCUCCUCCCUCUUUCUCAUUCCCCCCAGUGGAGGCAGAGUGACGUCUGACUGGGGAUAGCGGAGGGAAAGAACAUGAAUAGACCAAUCCCUUGCUCUUUCUUCUCUGUUGUGAAUGAACUUCCUGAAGGAUGUACACGCUCUCAGUGCUGAAUGUACUAUUUCAGCACUGUCUCUGCCCGGGGAGGUUGAAAACACAAUUAACUUCUGGCUCUUCGGGGAAAGCAGAUAAAUAAGUUAGAUAACCUUUGCUCCUCCUUCACCUUCCACGAUGAUUGUGAGACCUCCCCAGCCAUGCGGAACUGUGAGUCCAUUAAACCUCU
rnacentral:lncRNA from 1 species